rnacentral:rRNA from 1 species
AUUGAACGCUGGCGGCAGGCCUAACACAUGCAAGUCGAACGGUAACAGGAAACAGCUUGCUGUUUCGCUGACGAGUGGCGGACGGGUGAGUAAUGUCUAGGAAACUGCCUGAUGGAGGGGGAUAACUACUGGAAACGGUAGCUAAUACCGCAUAACGUCGCAAGACCAAAGAGGGGGACCUUCGGGCCUCUUGCCAUCGGAUGUGCCCAGAUGGGAUUAGCUAGUAGGUGGGGUAACGGCUCACCUAGGCGACGAUCCCUAGCUGGUCUGAGAGGAUGACCAGCCACACUGGAACUGAGACACGGUCCAGACUCCUACGGGAGGCAGCAGUGGGGAAUAUUGCACAAUGGGCGCAAGCCUGAUGCAGCCAUGCCGCGUGUAUGAAGAAGGCCUUCGGGUUGUAAAGUACUUUCAGCGGGGAGGAAGGGAGUAAAGUUAAUACCCUUGCUCAUUGACGUUACCCGCAGAAGAAGCACCGGCUAACUCCGUG